GAAGGACACGCCCAUCCCUUAUCUCUUCACACCGCACAACCAUUCCCCUCGCAGUCUAUCUCUUUUCUCUUCUCCUCCGUUAAAUUCCUCAACACCGCAGGACGAGCUCUUCCAUGUCUCCGCUGAAGGUGCGGCCAUCUGCUGCUGCUCCGGCCGGGAGACGCCGCGAGCCUGCGAGCCUGGGCCGGGCGUGGGAGCUAUGUAGCUGGUUACCCCCUUCCCUGCCCACGCCGCAAGGGGGAGGCGCGUUAGUGCAAGGAAGACGAUGAGGGCCCGCGACUGGGGAGCAGCCGGCCGGGGAUGUUUCAACCGGCGGGGCUGGCGGAGAGUGGGGAUUUCAUGGCGAAGCUGUAAGCAUGACGGCGGUGACGAAGUUUUGCUACAUCCAUUGCCAGAUUUUGGUACGACUGACGAUAAUUUUUGCUACAAGUAUUUCACGGCGAAGCUGCAACCACAACGGGCGGUGACAAAGUUUUGCUACAUCCAUUGCCGGACUUUGCUAUGACCGGCGAUUUUUUUUGCUACAACCAUGUUAUUAUUUUGUUGGAACCGAAGAUAAUCUUUGCUACAUCCACCAAUGGCGGUGUUUGCCCAUGGCGGCAAUGGCUUUCUUCUUCGAUGGGAUCGGCAAGCAAUUUUUGAUACAACCGACAAGCAAUUUUGCUUCAACCAACAUCUUUUUUUGCUGGAACCUUUGGAUUUUUUUUGCUGGAGACUAUGUUUUUUCAGAGAUGCAAAGCAAUUUUUGAUACAACCGGAAAUAAAUUUUGCUUCAACCAGUUUUUAAUUUUGCUGGAACCAGCAAUUCCAAAGCUGCAACAAUUGAAGCUUUUUUUAGAGCCGUGACAGGUCACCGCGGCGAACUGCGACGGCCACCGUGGCGAGGCGCGCCGCAAGGUCGUCGGGGCUGCUCGAACGGCGACCAGUGCUCCAACCGGCGAGCGGCGGCGGCGACGGCGAGCGGCGACGGUGACGGCGAGCGGCGACGGCGACGGCGAGGCAUGCGGGACAACGCGGCGGUUAGUGCGAGCCGGCGGUGCUUCGUGGUCGCGCAUCCAUGACGGCCCUGGCGCUUCUCUCUGUGUGUGCUGAAGGAGAGGAUAAGGUAAGAAAAAGGUAGAAGAGAAGCUGCGAUCGGACGGCCUCGUGCGGCUAGAUCGGGCGGCUGGGGGUGGACCGGCCGAAACUUUCGGCCGGCGGACCGGCGCCCAGUGCUGGCCUUCUUGCUAACAUGCCACCGAGCUGUCGCAGCCGUCGAAAGGUUUUGCAGCUCAAGGCUGCACUGCACUAGAGCGUGAGAGCUAUAUCUCGCUUGUAGUUUUUUUUUUUUUUGAGUA